GCCCCCCAAACACAAAAGCUUGGUCCUAACUUUACAGUCAAUUUUUUCUUAACUUACACAUGCAAGCCUCCCCGCCCCCRUGAGUAUCUAUUUUCCCMRCCAGGGGAUUGAUAGAAAYGGUAUCAGGCACAACACYUUGCCCAAAACACCUAGCAACAGUCACACCCAUAAGGGCCACAGCAGUGAUUAAUAUUGAAUAUAAGUGCCAACUUGAUUCAGUCAAAGCAAAACAGGGCCGGCCAAGYUGGUGCCAGCCGCCGCGGUUACACCAGAGGCCCGAGUUGACUUUCCCUCGGCRUAGAGCGUGGUUAAAGCUYCAUMAAAUUGGGAUCAAAUUAAAAUUAGGCGGUAACAUGCCUGUUCUUAAGAAGCCCGUAAACGAAAGUUAUUCCAAUUUCUAUAACUUGAACCCACGAUAGCCUAGAGCACAAACUAGGAUUAGAUACCCUACUAUGUCURSCCCUAAACCUUAAAYUACACUUYAAC
rnacentral:rRNA from 1 species